AAACUCACCAGGUCAGGACACGGUAAGGAUUGACGGACUGAAGGCUCUUUCUCGAUUCCGUGGAAAGUGGUGCAUGGCCGUUUUUGGUUGGUGGAUCGAUCCGUCUGGUUAAUUCCGUUAACGAACGAGACCUCGGCACUCCGAAUAGCGCGGCGGACGUCGCGGCCUCCGGGCCGUCUUCCGCACGAGCUUCUUAGAGGGACCGUCCCCCGCCGGGGAAGGAGGUGCGAGGCAACGACAGGUCUGUGAUGCCCUUAGAUGUUCUGGGCCGCACGCGCAUUACACUGACGCGUCCAACGGGUGACUCCCGACCCGAAGGGGCCGGGGAAUCCGCAAGGCGCGUCGUGAUGGGGAUUGAACGUUGCAAUUGUUGUUCACGAACGAGGAAUUCCUAGUAGGCGCGGGUCAUCAACCCGCGCCGAUUACGUCCCUGCCC
rnacentral:rRNA from 1 species